UACAGAGGGUGCGAGCGUUGUUCGGAAUUAUUGGGCGUAAAGCGCAUGUAGGCGGCUUGUUAAGUCGCGUGUGAAAGCUCCAGGCUCAACCUGGAAAGUGCGCGCGAAACUGGCGAGCUUGAGUGCCGGAGAGGGUGGCGGAAUUCCCGGUGUAGAGGUGAAAUUCGUAGAUAUCAGGAGGAACACCUGUGGCGAAGGCGUCCAUCUGGCCCGUUACUGACGCUGAUGCGCGAAAGCUAGGGGAGCAAACGGG
rnacentral:rRNA from 1 species